AAAUUGAAGAGUUUGAUCAUGGCUCAGAUUGAACGCUGGCGGCAGGCCUAACACAUGCAAGUCGAACGGUAACAGGAAGCAGCUUGCUGCUUCGCUGACGAGUGGCGGACGGGUGAGUAAUGUCUGGGAAACUGCCUGAUGGAGGGGGAUAACUACUGGAAACGGUAGCUAAUACCGCAUAACGUCGCAAGACCAAAGAGGGGGACCUUCGGGCCUCUUGCCAUCGGAUGUGCCCAGAUGGGAUUAGCUUGUUG
rnacentral:rRNA from 1 species